UAAAUACUCCCUCCGUUCCAAAAUAGAUGACUCAACUUUGUACAAAGUUAGUACAAAGUUGAGUCAUCUAUUUUGGAACGGAGGGAGUAUAUG
rfam:Triticum aestivum genome assembly, contig: Triticum_aestivum_CS42_TGACv1_scaffold_579255_7BL